UACGUAGGGUGCGAGCGUUAAUCGGAAUUACUGGGCGUAAAGCGUGCGCAGGCGGUUUUGUAAGUCUGACGUGAAAUCCCCGGGCUUAACCUGGGAAUUGCGUUGGAGACUGCAAGGCUGGAGUCUGGCAGAGGGGGGUAGAAUUCCACGUGUAGCAGUGAAAUGCGUAGAUAUCGGGAGGAACACCAGUGGCGAAGGCGGCUGCCUGGGCCAGUUCUGACGCUGAGGCGCGAAAGCGUGGGGAGCAAACAGG
rnacentral:rRNA from 1 species